AUAAGGUAAAGUGUAAAGCACAUUAAGCUUUGAACUUAAAAGUAAAAUCUUAUU
rnacentral:tRNA from 1 species